CGACGUCAUGUGGUAGACGGUCUGCGUCGGCUGCUCCGAGUGCGCCGCCGUUGCCACCAUCAUGGCGUUCACCACCAUGUCCCCCGAUCGAGAUUGACGAGAAAGAAGGGCAACGCCUGCUUGGCGUAACCGAUGAUCACCGAGUCGAUCGUCCUGAACAAGGCGAUGGAAAUGUUCAGUGAUCCAUCAGCAUUUAGGGAAGGAACAAGAUGUCCUUGAUGAAGUUAUAUGUUUUUCGUGACCUGAUUCCUUCCGUCCAUCCCGGCAAUGGCUCCUUGAGGAUACUGGUUAUGAUGCUUGGGCGGAUGAUCACCACCGGGAGGUGACCGCGGAGGUGGCCGAGCAGCAUCUCCCCCAUUGCUUUGGUGAAAACAAUGGAAGAUACUGGUCGUAACAGACCAGCUGGAUUCAGACAAACUCCAGAUUUUCUACGGUGCAAGCUUCCAUGCAUUAUUUUUGUUGACGUGACAAUAGCAUUGGUGCACCUCAACUACGACAUGUACUCUUGUCUAUUUUGCGUUCCACUACUGUGUAUAAUUUCCGGAAUGCAUUUGUUAUUUUCCAAUUGCGUCUGACAGGUCAAUGUUAUAUCUAUUUGAAGUAACCCUGCAGUUUCCAAGGCAAAAUUGCUCAAAAAGAAUAUCUCAUCAGUCCUGGAGUAAACUUAUUAUCGUUGUGGAGUU